rnacentral:piRNA from 1 species
UGGAAGAGAAAGUUCAGGAGCAAAGUAGUC